rnacentral:rRNA from 1 species
AGCGGCGGACGGGUGAGUAACGCGUGAGCAAUCUGCCCUGUGGAGGGGGAUAGCCUCUGGAAACGGAGAUUAAUACCGCAUAAAACUGCGAUACCGCAUGGUGAUGCAGUCAAAACUACGGUGCCACAGGAUGAGCUCGCGUCUCAUUAGCUAGUUGGUGGGGUAAAAGCCUACCAAGGCGACGAUGAGUAGCCGACCUGAGAGGGUGAUCGGCCACACUGGAACUGAGACACGGUCCAGACUCCUACGGGAGGCAGCAGUGGGGAAUAUUGCGCAAUGGGGGAAACCCUGACGCAGCAACGCCGCGUGAGUGAUGAAGGCUUUCGAGUCGUAAAACUCUGUCUUCGGGGAAGAUAAUGACGGUACCCGAGGAGGAAGCCCCGGCUAACUACGUGCCAGCAGCCGCGGUAAUACGUAGGGGGCAAGCGUUGUCCGGAAUCACUGGGCGUAAAGGGCGCGUAGGCGGUUUGUUAAGUCAGGUGUGAAAGUUUUCAGCUUAACUGGAAAAGUGCACUUGAAACUAACUUACUUGAGUACUGGAGAGGUAAGCGGAAUUCCUAGUGUAGCGGUGAAAUGCGUAGAUAUUAGGAAGAACACCGGUGGCGAAGGCGGCUUACUGGACAGAGACUGACGCUGAGGCGCGAAAGCGUGGGGAGCGAACAGGAUUAGAUACCCUGGUAGUCCACGCCGUAAACGAUGAGUAUUAGGUGUUGCCGAGAGGCAGUGCCGCAGUUAACACAAUAA